rnacentral:rRNA from 1 species
GGUUUGAUCCUGAAAACCAGAUUGAACGCAGCGCGUAAAGGAUGCUUUACCUUUAAGUCGGGCAGCAGCACCUGGACUUCGGUCUGGUGGCGAGUGGCGAACAGGUAGAUAAUGUAUCGGAACGUGCCUAGUAGCCCGAGGAUAACUACGCGGCGUAGCUAUUGCGCCGCCCCACAUCGAGGAAGCAUGUGGGGGACAACUGGAAGCCUCCGCACUAUUGACUUAGCCGAUAUCGGAUUGAAAGCUAGUUGGUGGAAAUAACGCUCCGCAAAACGGCAAUCGUAGCCUGGUUUGAGGGACGGCCAACCACUGGGACGGGUUUGUGAACUCCUACGAGAGAGAACAACGGUAGAGGUACGGACAAUGGGGGAAACCCUGAUUAUGCACAUCGCAUUAUUUUGAUAAGCCUUCGGAAGGUGUAAGCACUUUUGGCGAGGAGGAAAGAAACGGCACGGGAUAAUGCAAUACAACGGUACCUGCAGAAUAAACACCAGCUAACUACGUACCGGCAACCCUUGAUGACGUAAGUGCAAGCGUUAAUCAGUACAGGCGUAAAGCGUGCGCGAGCGGUUCGGAAAGAAAAAGAUGAAAUCCCAGGGCUUAACUUUUGGAACUACGAUUUUUAACUACGAAGGCUGAAAGUGUCAGAGGAAGGUGAAAUUCGCGUGUGGCAGUGAAAUGCGUAGAUAUGCGGAGAACACCGAUAGCUGGCGGCCUCUGGGAUGCACUGGCGCUCAUGCACGAAGCGUGGGGAGCAAAACGGGAUUAGAAUACCCUGGUGAGUCCACGCGCCCUGCGCGUGUCAACUGGCUGUUGGGGCCUUCGGGCAACGCUUGGCUAGCGCAACUAACGCGUGAAGUUGACCACCGCCGCGGGGAGUACGUUAGCAGAUUAAAACUCAAGGAAUUGACGGGGACCGCACAAGCGGUGGAUGAUGUGGAUUAAUUCGAUGCAACGCGACCUUACCUGCCGCCGGCGUAUCUGGAAUCCCGAAGAGGUUUGGGAGUGCUCGCAGAAGAGCCGGAACACAGGUGCUGCAUAGCGCAGCUCGUCGGCGGCUCGUGUCGUAGAUGUUGGGUUAAGUCCGCAACGACGCAACCCUUGUCAUUAGUUGCUACGAAGAGGCACUCUAAUGGGGCUACCGGUAUUGACAAACCAGAGAAGAAUUGGGGAUGACGUCAAGUCCUCAUGGCCCAUAUGGGUAGGGCUUCACACGUCAUACAAUGGUCGGGACAGAGGGUCGCAGCCCGCGAGGAGCCAAUCCCAGAAACCCGAUCGUAGUCCGGAUCGCAGUCUGCAACUCGACUGCGUGAAGUCGGAAUCAUAGCCAAUCGCGGAUCGGCACUCUCCACAAUGAUACAUUCCCGGGUCUUGUACACACCGCCCGUCACACCAUGGGAGUGGUUUACCAGAAGUAGUUAGCCUAACCGUAAGGGCGAUUACCACGGUAGGAUUCAUGACUGGGGUGAAGUCAUGGCACAAGGUA